GGCGGCGUGCCCGAGUGGACCAAGGGGGCGGAUUGCAAAUCCGUUUAUCAUGGGUUCGAAUCCCAUCGCCGCCU
rnacentral:tRNA from 1 species